rnacentral:rRNA from 1 species
UGAGGAAUAUUGGUCAAUGGGCGCAAGCCUGAACCAGCGACGCCGCGUGGGUGAAGAAGGCCUUCGGGUCGUAAAGCCCUUUUCUGUGUGAAGAGAGAGGACGGUAGCACAGGAAUAAGCGUCGGCUAACUACGUGCCAGCAGCCGCGGUAAAACGUAGGACGCAAGCGUUAUCCGGAAUUACUGGGCGUAAAGGGCGUGCAGGCGGUUUCCUAAGUCAGGCGUGAAAGCCACGGGCUAAACCUGGGGGAGGACGUUUGAUACUGGGGGACUAGAGUGUGGUAGAGGGGUGUAGAAUUCCGGGUGUAGUGGUGAAAUGCGUAGAUAUCCGGAGGAAUACCAGUGGCGAAGGCGGCACCCUGGGCCAUAACUGACGCUAAGACGCGAAAGCAUGGGUAGCGAACGGGAUUAGAAACCCCGGUAG